GGUUAAUAUUCCUGUACUUGGUGUUACUGCGAAGGGGGGACGGAGAAGGCUAUGUUAGCCGGGCGACGGUUGUCCCGGUUUAAGCAUGUAGGCUGGUUAUCCAGGCAAAUCCGGAUAAUCAAGGCUGAGGUGUGAUGACGAGGCACUACGGUGCUGAAGUAACAAAUGCCCUGCUUCCAGGAAAAGCCUCUAAGCAUCAGGUAACAUCAAAUCGUACCCCAAACCGACACAGGUGGUCAGGUAGAGAAUACCAAGGCGCUUGAGAGAACUCGGGUGAAGGAACUAGGCAAAAUGGUGCCGUAACUUCGGGAGAAGGCACGCUGGUGUGUAGGUGAAGCCCCUGCGGGUGGAGCUGAGACCAGUCGAAGAUACCAGCUGGCUGCAACUGUUUAUUAAAAACACAGCACUGUGCAAACACGAAAGUGGACGUAUACGGUGUGACGCCUGCCCGGUGCCGGAAGGUUAAUUGAUGGGGUUAUCCGUAAGGAGAAGCUCUUGAUCGAAGCCCCGGUAAACGGCGGCCGUAACUAUAACGGUCCUAAGGUAGCGAAAUUCCUUGUCGGGUAAGUUCCGACCUGCACGAAUGGCGUAAUGAUGGCCAGGCUGUCUCCACCCGAGACUCAGUGAAAUUGAACUCGCUGUGAAGAUGCAGUGUACCCGCGGCAAGACGGAAAGACCCCGUGAACCUUUACUAUAGCUUGACACUGAACAUUGAGCCUUGAUGUGUAGGAUAGGUGGGAGGCUUUGAAGCGUGGACGCCAGUCUGCGUGGAGCCAACCUUGAAAUACCACCCUUUAAUGUUUGAUGUUCUAACGUUGGCCCCUUACCGGGGUUGCGGACAGUGUCUGGUGGGUAGUUUGACUGGGGCGGUCUCCUCCCAAAGCGUAACGGAGGAGCACGAAGGUUAGCUAAUCCUGGUCGGACAUCAGGAGGUUAGUGCAAUGGCAUAAGCUAGCUUGACUGCGAGCGUGACGGCGCGAGCAGGUGCGAAAGCAGGUCAUAGUGAUCCGGUGGUUCUGAAUGGAAGGGCCAUCGCUCAACGGAUAAAAGGUACUCCGGGGAUAACAGGCUGAUACCGCCCAAGAGUUCAUAUCGACGGCGGUGUUUGGCACCUCGAUGUCGGCUCAUCACAUCCUGGGGCUGAAGUAGGUCCCAAGGGUAUGGCUGUUCGCCAUUUAAAGUGGUACGCGAGCUGGGUUUAGAACGUCGUGAGACAGUUCGGUCCCUAUCUGCCGUGGGCGCUGGAGAAUUGAGGGGGGCUGCUCCUAGUACGAGAGGACCGGAGUGGACGCAUCACUGGUGUUCGGGUUGUCAUGCCAAUGGCACUGCCCGGUAGCUAAAUGCGGAAGAGAUAAGUGCUGAAAGCAUCUAAGCACGAAACUUGCCCCGAGAUGAGUUCUCCCUGAGACUUUAAGUCUCCUGAAGGAACGUUGAAGACGACGACGUUGAUAGGCCGGGUGUGUAAGCGCAGCGAUGCGUUGAGCUAACCGGUACUAAUGAACCGUGAGGCUUAACCUU
rnacentral:rRNA from 3 species